UGGGGAAUUUUGGACAAUGGGCGAAAGCCUGAUCCAGCAAUGCCGCGUGUGUGAAGAAGGCCUUCGGGUUGUAAAGCACUUUUGUCCGGAAAGAAAACGCCGUGGUUAAUACCCGUGGCGGAUGACGGUACCGGAAGAAUAAGCACCGGUUAACUACGUGCCAGCAGCCGCGGUAAUACGUAGGGUGCAAGCGUUAAUCGGAAUUACUGGGCGUAAAGCGUGCGCAGGCGGUCCGCUAAGACAGAUGUGAAAUCCCCGGGCUUAACCUGGGAACUGCAUUUGCGACUGGCGGGCUAGAGUAUGGCAGAGGGGGGUAGAAUUCCACGUGUAGCAGUGAAAUGCGUAGAGAUGUGGAGGAAUACCGAUGGCGAAGGCAGCCCCCUGGGCCAAUACUGACGCUCAUGCACGAAAGCGUGGGGAGCAAACAGG
rnacentral:rRNA from 1 species